rnacentral:misc_RNA from 1 species
AGAUAGAUUUGUCAACUGGUUUGGUUUGCAAAUUCCAAACCGAACUGAUCUAAUUGGCUCGAAAAAUAACACCGGUUCUUCUUGACUCAAUCUCAAUAAGGGAAAAGCCUCUGGUUCUAGGGUUUACUUCUCUCCACCUAAACUCUCUCUUUGCCCCCGGAACCCGCGAGAGCUCAUAGCCAUGGCGAGCACCAAGGUCCAGAGGAUUAUGACCCAACCCAUUAACCUGAUUUUCAGGUUUCUUCAAAGUAAAGCCCGCAUUCAGAUAUGGCUAUUUGAGCAGAAGGAUAUGAGGAUUGAAGGCCGAAUCAUUGUAAGUUUUGAUCCAGAUUUUAGUUGUUUUUGGCGUUAUGCCAUUAAAAAUUCUUGUUUAGCGACUCUUGGUUGACAUCAAAGUUAUUAGUAUUUUCCAGUAUGGAUUUCACGGAAUAGAACUUUCAAUUCAUAUGCUUAAUUAAAGAUAAAAAAAAUAAGGUUCUUAGAGGAUGUUUGAACUCUUGGUUUACUUACAUUUGUAAUUGGUUUAGGCUUAUCCAUAUAAUUCUAUUUACAUUGUAGUACUGCUUUAUAGGUCUUCUGAGUUCUUCAUUCACUUGCAUUGGAAGUCAGUGUGCAGAUACCUGCACAGUGUCUUAAUUACUGCUAAUGAAAAGAUUGAGUUUUUUAGCCACAUUUUCAAAAACCCCUCAAAAUAUAUGGGUUUUAUGCUUGAAUUAUAUUUGAAAAUCAGUAAUUCAGUUUAUAAGACCUGCAAUUUAGCUAUAGAAAUGUAAAGGUGAAAGGUCAUCUCUUACUAUGCAGCUCUCUGUCUAAGUUGGGAAAGAUCUGUUAUUUAAAUUCAUAAAGUUGGCUUCAUAUUUGUUAUUUUCAGACAAUAAGUUUCUAAUAAAUGUAUGAAUAACUUAGUAGACUAGCAACUGGCUGGAAUCUUUUAAUAUGGUUUUUUGGUAUAUGUAUUGGAAUUUUUUUUUUAAUAUUAAUUCAAAAUUCAUGUGCUAUAGUUGCUAUAGCUUUCAAAUUUCAUGACUGUAAAAUUUCAGAUUUCUAUUGUUGAGGAUAACAGAUAUAAAUUGGCAUUUGCAGUUUUGAUCAUCAUCAUCAUCAUCAU